ensembl:misc_RNA 7SK 7SK RNA
GGAUGUGAGGGCGAUCUAGCUGCGACAUCUGUCACCCCAUUGAUCUCCAGGGUUGAUUUGGCUAAUCUGGCUGGCUAGGCGGGUGUCACCUUCCUCCCUCACUGCUCCAUGUAUGUCCCUCCUGAAGCUGUGUGCUUGGUUGAAGAGGACAGCUGUCCCCCAAUAGCGACAGACCAGUCUUCGGGUCGAGGGUAUAUGAGUAGCUGCGCUCUCCUGCUAGAACUUCCAAACAAACGCUAACAUAUGGAAUAUAAAUGAUUAAAUCAAGGGGAUGGGUGGUGGCACACCUGGCUGAGCACACAUGUUACAGUGUGCAAGGAC